GAUGAACGCUGGCGGCGUGCCUAAUACAUGCAAGUCGAGCGAACGGACGAGAAGCUUGCUUCUCUGAUGUUAGCGGCGGACGGGUGAGUAACACGUGGAUAACCUACCUAUAAGACUGGGAUAACUUCGGGAAACCGGAGCUAAUACCGGAUAAUAUUUUGAACCGCAUGGUUCAAAAGUGAAAGACGGUCUUGCUGUCACUUAUAGAUGGAUCCGCGCUGCAUUAGCUAGUUGGUAAGGUAACGGCUUACCAAGGCAACGAUGCAUAGCCGACCUGAGAGGGUGAUCGGCCACACUGGAACUGAGACACGGUCCAGACUCCUACGGGAGGCAGCAGUAGGGAAUCUUCCGCAAUGGGCAAAAGCCUGACGGAGCAACGCCGCGUGAGUGAUGAAGGUCUUCGGAUCGUAAAACUCUGUUAUUAGGGAAGAACAUAUGUGUAAGUAACUGUGCACAUCUUGACGGUACCUAAUCAGAAAGCCACGGCUAACUACGUGCCAGCAGCCGCGGUAAUACGUAGGUGGCAAGCGUUAUCCGGAAUUAUUGGGCGUAAAGCGCGCGUAGGCGGUUUUUUAAGUCUGAUGUGAAAGCCCACGGCUCAACCGUGGAGGGUCAUUGGAAACUGGAAAACUUGAGUGCAGAAGAGGAAAGUGGAAUUCCAUGUGUAGCGGUGAAAUGCGCAGAGAUAUGGAGGAACACCAGUGGCGAAGGCGACUUUCUGGUCUGUAACUGACGCUGAUGUGCGAAAGCGUGGGGAUCAAACAGGAUUAGAUACCCUGGUAGUCCACGCCGUAAACGAUGAGUGCUAAGUGUUAGGGGGUUUCCGCCCCUUAGUGCUGCAGCUAACGCAUUAAGCACUCCGCCUGGGGAGUACGACCGCAAGGUUGAAACCCAAAGGAAUUGACGGGGACCCGCACAAGCGGUGGAGCAUGUGGUUUAAUUCGAAGCAACGCGAAGAACCUUACCAAAUCUUGACAUCCUUUGACAACUCUAGAGAUAGAGCCUUCCCCUUCGGGGGACAAAGUGACAGGUGGUGCAUGGUUGUCGUCAGCUCGUGUCGUGAGAUGUUGGGUUAAGUCCCGCAACGAGCGCAACCCUUAAGCUUAGUUGCCAUCAUUAAGUUGGGCACUCUAAGUUGACUGCCGGUGACAAACCGGAGGAAGGUGGGGAUGACGUCAAAUCAUCAUGCCCCUUAUGAUUUGGGCUACACACGUGCUACAAUGGACAAUACAAAGGGCAGCGAAACCGCGAGGUCAAGCAAAUCCCAUAAAGUUGUUCUCAGUUCGGAUUGUAGUCUGCAACUCGACUACACGAAGCUGGAAUCGCUAGUAAUCGUAGAUCAGCAUGCUACGGUGAAUACGUUCCCGGGUCU
rnacentral:rRNA from 1 species